UACAGAGGGUGCGAGCGUUAAUCGGAAUUAUUGGGCGUAAAGCGCAUGUAGGUGGUUAGAUAAGUUUGAUGUGAAAGCCCCGGGCUUAACCUGGGAAUUGCGUUGAAUACUGUUUGACUAGAGUCGGACAGAGGGUCGUGGAAUUUCCGGUGUAGCGGUGAAAUGCGUAGAGAUCGGAAAGAACACCAGUGGCGAAGGCGGCGACCUGGGUCCAGACUGACACUGAGGUGCGAAAGCGUGGGGAGCAAAC
rnacentral:rRNA from 1 species